rnacentral:lncRNA from 1 species
GAAGCCGAUCAUCGGUCUUCUUUCCCUCUUUUCCUCUCCGAUUUUUUCGAAUUAGAGCCGCGGAUCCUUGCUUCGUUCUCACCGUGAUUGCUCGCCGGUAGGGUCACCGGAGGCCGAGGUGAGUUUCCUUUUUCUUCCUCUCUUCCUUCCCCUUCCUCCCAUGCUCUUGUGCGCGGCUGCCGGCGACAAGAGUCGCCGAUUUUCGAUCGGAAAAGAGACCUCUGUUUCGGUCUCUUUUCCCUUGGAUUUUUUCCGGCGCCGGCGAUCGCAAUCGACCGCCGGCCAUGCUCCUCUGUAAUUGGGGGAGUGGCCCCCUCUGCCACCGGCCUCCGCCGUGGCGGCCGUGGCCUGAACGGUCGGUCAAGGCCAGAGAACCACCGGUCCUCUG